rnacentral:rRNA from 1 species
AAUAUCAAAGGUGAGCCAGUACAGGAUGGACCCGCGUCUGAUUAGCUAGUUGGUAAGGUAACGGCUUACCAAGGCGACGAUCAGUAGCCGACCUGAGAGGGUGAUCGGCCACAUUGGAACUGAGACCCGGUCCAAACUCCUACGGGAGGCAGCGGUGGGGAAUAUUGC